rnacentral:rRNA from 1 species
UACGUAGGGUGCGAGCGUUGUCCGGAAUUAUUGGGCGUAAAGAGCUCGUAGGCGGUUCGGCAAGUCGAAUGUGAAAUCUCCACGCUCAACGUGGAGGGGUCAUUCGAUACUGCCGUGACUUGAGUACGGUAGGGGAGUGUGGAAUUCCCGGUGUAGCGGUGAAAUGCGCAGAGAUCGGGAGGAACACCCGUAGCGAAGGCGGCACUCUGGGCCGAUACUGACGCUGAGGAGCGAAAGCGUGGGGAGCGAACAGG